UACACAUACAGACACACACACCUGCACACACACACCCCAAACUCAUGGACCUUAGGGUUCACUCCUUGGAGUGCAGUGGGGCACACGUCCUCCACACCCUCUUGAUGGAGGAUUUGGCAUGACUGCAGCAUGAACAUUGUGGAAAGGCUCUGUCUCAACCUCCUGUCUGUGCUUCCAGGACGGCCUCAAUUUGUCUGGUGGCACAAAGGCAAAGUGGAAAAAGCUGCUCAUAUUCCUGGACUCUGCUGAAGAAGCAAUCUGCUCCAAGAAGCGCCUUCUGAUUGCCUGCCCCACCCUCUGCCCAGGCUAAUGUGGAUGCCACUGCUUUCUGGCCACUCUUCUAUCAAAACAUGCAAGCUGUUCUCUUUCCAUUGCUCUUUGGCUCUGCCUCUGGAACCUCACUUUGAAUCCCUUGGGACAACAAAGUCAGACUGGCUGGACUCACAUCUGCCUCCACCAUUGACCAACUGGGUGGCUGUGAGCAAGUUACUUAUAUUCAGCGUGCCUCAGUCUUCUCACCUGCAAAAUGGGUAUAAAAUAGUUCCCAUUCAUGCUAAUGAAAUGAGAUAAUCCAGGCAAAGAGCUAAUAAUAGUUUCCAAAAAGUGUUCAAUUAUUA